rnacentral:tRNA from 1 species
GGAGAGGUGCCGGAGCGGUCGAACGGGCUCGCCUGGAAAGCGUGUGUAUCCCAAAAGGGUACCGAGGGUUCGAAUCCCUCCCUCUCCG